AAGAUAACGAAAUACAAUAAACUACUGCUACAAAGAAUCCGAGCACGUGCUUUUUUACAUUAAAUUUUCUGGACGCUGGAAUAUUUUCUUCAUGCUUCGCUAGUUAUUGAGCCACCUGCGGAAAGCUGCCAACAUUUGUGCAUAUCGAUCGGGGUUGACUAUAAUAUGUUCAGCGCAGACUGUUUGAAAGUGGAAACCAUACAGGAAACGCGCAAGCAUUCCAGGGAAACCAGCGAUUAGCCGUAGCAGCUGCCAUGCGUUUAUGCUCAACAACUUAUUAUUGACAUUUUCAUGUUUCGCCAAAACCAGUAUAUGCUUUGCGGGCAGCCGGUAGAAGAUGCGGUGAAUCCGGCUGUGUAUGCCCUUUUUCCAUACAUAGUCAAUAAGUGGUGUCUAUCGGAGGCCGGGAUCCGUUCCAGGAGACUGGUUAUUGCAAUGCAUUAUUGAAUACGCACAGGAUUGCAUUAUUGAAUACGCACAGGGAAGUAUUUCCAAAGAACUGUUCAAACUAAACAGUAUCUUGUUGCUUUGCAUAUACGCUUACGCGGUAGAUGUCUCUUCCCAAGUACUAGCAGUGCUGGAUCCCGGAUGCAGUAAAUCAAUUCUAAUAUGUGGAACUGGCCGUACUGCGAAAACUUCCCGAUCGUGUUGUUUGAUGACCGAAUCAUACGACGCCACCAGAAUCCACAACUUUUAUCAUUUACACAGUUAAACAGUUGUCCCAAGCAUUAGGGUAGUACUGAAAUUUUAAAAUGUGCAAAUUGCAGUGUAUACUGCGUAUUUUGUAUUUAUAUAAACUCCAAUAUUUAAUAUGUGCAAUUGUCGAACCAAACGUCAAGUAUAGUUACUGUAAUCACUUUGUGUUUAACUGUACUUAUAAAAUUAUAAGAGGUUAACAAGAACCAGUAAAUUAUAAGAACAUAAUUAAGAUCCAUGUUUACGCUUACCUGUUGUUACAGUUGUAGUAUUUGUGCUUGUUACUUGUACAGCAUCCAUAAGUACAGUAUCACUGCACUCGCAUUUUGUUGUUAUGCGUUUUGAUACUGCAACGGUUGGCAAUGGGGGGUGUGGAAGGGUGUUUUACAUUUGCGAAUAAAUUUUUACAUUCUCUAAUCAACCUUACAAGGUCCGAAUACAACCUUAAUAAACUUUCAUUUUUGAAUGUCGUCGGUACUUACCGGCACGAAAACAAAUAAUUCUACAGAAUAGUAGCAAAUGAAACAAUAUUGAUAAUCGAAAUUAUUCGGAAACAUUGUGAUAGUUAAUUGCUAUCAGGGCGCAGGUUGUUUACGGUGGGAGACGUUUGCGCUGUUUUUUGUUGUUUCCAUAGUAUGACUCUUUGACGGUGAGACUUUUAAAUUCUAAGUAUGUGUUUGUGCGAUGUAAACAAAUAUUUACAGUACAGUAACCGAUGCUUCUUUUUACGUAUCCAUCGCAAUCACCGGCUGACAGAUACGAAACAGCUACCGUAGAGACUCAGUUUUUUAGUUAGGCCGUAUUCAAUGAGUGAUCGCUCACCUUUUAUGCCAGUACCGGUACGACAUGAAGUCAUUUUGCCAACAAGAUUUGUUCGAGGCUCAAAAAUAAAUAAGACUUUUCCCGGAAAUGCGUCUGGACUGCACUCCAUUUAAAUAAACUGUACGACAUAAUGUACGCCAAGGGUGUGGUAGUCUACUGACGUCUUAACGGAUGUUCAGAGUAGUCCCCAUCGGGUUUGACGGACCACAUGUCAUUUCCCACGGUGAUUACUGUACAUGCUCGUUACAAUUGUCUUUUGUAAAUUUUCUAUUUUGUCUAUGGAGAAAUUGGUUAAUUCGGUUUGCUCAAUCUAAUUAUUAAUUAUUAUGUUUUCGUGCUCUUCCAAAUAACCCUUCGUACAAAUAACAUUUCAGUUAAAGGAUUUAUGGUUGGUGCAUUAAAAUUUAGAACUCCUUAUUAUUCGCACUUUAUAUCCAAGGCCGUCUCGAGGUACUAACUACAUAGCUAAGUACAACAGUACCUACUGCCCAACUAAAUCUCUUAUUGAUAGCUGACUGAUAAAAAAACUACACACGACAAGUUACCCGUGCAACGGUUAAAAAUAUGUCAAUCAACUAACAAUUGUAAGAGGUACAACGUUUCUCUGCUUAAUAA